AACUUUUGUUUCGGUAAAGAAAUUUGAAUAAAACUUGGUAUGUAUGUAGCUUAUAUCAAGACAAAGGCUGGGAUUGAUUUUGGGGUUUCUGGGGUCAAGGUCACUGUUACUUAAAAUAGAAAAAGGGUUUCCGGUCAAUAACUUAACUUAGGAAUGAGCUAUCAUGAUGAAACUUGGUAUAUAGAAAACUUAUAUAAAGUUGUAGCUUGGGAUUGAUUUUGGGGUUUCUGGGAUCAAGGUCAAGGUCAUUGUUACUAAAAAUAGGGUUAGCAUGGUUCGCACAGGUCCUUGAAAGUCCUUGAAUUUGAUCCUAAGUCCUUGAAAAGUCCUUGAUUUUUUUCUUCCAAAAAAUCCCCUGAAAAAGUACUUGAAUUUUGAAAAAAAAGGUAGAAAAGUCCUUAAAUUUUGCUAAAAACGGGGGUGCAAUCGUAUUGUAGGGGAAAAAUACAAAAAAUAAAUAAUAAAUAAGUCAAAACGAGCGAAAAAACGGUGUAAAAUAAAAAUA